GCCGGCAAACAGCCUAAGUUGAGACUAGUCCUUCCAUUAGUUUUGAUACCCAGAUGAAACCCGUUGUGAUUGAAGCUACUAAUUUCGCUGCAGGUGUUGAAACAUAAGGACAUAUUCUACCACCAAAGCCUUCUUGUAGGAUUAGUGAGCCACCAACAACCUGGAGGUUACGACCCGGAUCCUUAACCAAUAAGAGUACGAUCCAAGCUCCUCAACCAGAAAGUCAAAAUGAGUCAUUAUAUGACAAUGCAUACCUGUUCCUGGAACCUCAAUGGCGACCAGUUCCUCCAGCAACUGACAGUCCAGAAUCAAUGAAGAUUUUCGAAGAACACAAAAAAUUUGCUAAACAGUACCUUCAAACCCGCAUUGAAAUAGAAUGUCUACUACAAGCAAAGGAAAAUUUGCAACGACUGCUACGCGAGCAGGAAAAAUACGGUCCUUUCGGUGGCGAACGGGACUCGCGCAUAAUUCUUAAGGAUUGGAGAGAAUUGAAGAGCGAAAAUGAAAUACUGGCCCAACAUCAUAGCGACUUAAAGAAUCAGCUAGAAAUGUUGAAAUUUCCGAAAUAAUCUAAUGGAGUAACAAUAAUUUGAAACGG